rnacentral:rRNA from 1 species
CCUACGGGGUGCAGCAGUGAGGAAUAUUGGUCAAUGGACGAGAGUCUGAACCAGCCAAGUAGCGUGAAGGAUGACUGCCCUAUGGGUUGUAAACUUCUUUUAUAUGGGAAUAAAAUGUUCCACGUGUGGGAUUUUGUAUGUACCAUAUGAAUAAGGAUCGGCUAACUCCGUGCCAGCAGCCGCGGUAAUACGGAGGAUCCUAGCGUUAUCCGGAUUUAUUGGGUUUAAAGGGAGCGUAGGUGGAUUGUUAAGUCAGUUGUGAAAGUUUGCGGCUCAACCGUAAAAUUGCAGUUGAAACUGGCAGUCUUGAGUACAGUAGAGGUGGGCGGAAUUCGUGGUGUAGCGGUGAAAUGCUUAGAUAUCCCGAAGAACUCCGAUUGCGAAGGCAGUUCACUGGACUGCAACUGACACUGAGGCUCGAAAGUGUGGGUAUCAAACAGGAUUAGAUACCCCGGUAGUC